rnacentral:sRNA from 1 species
GCCAGGUGUGGUAGAGCAUACCUGUAAUUCCAGCAACUUGGGAGGCUGAGGCAGGAACUUUGUGAGUUCAAAGCCAGCCUCAGCAACUUAGCAAGGCCCUGUCUUCA